rnacentral:rRNA from 1 species
GUCGAACGGAGCCUUAACCAAAGAAGCAGCCAGCUUGCUGGAAGCCGAUAAGGGAAAGGCUUAGUGGCGGACGGGUGAGUAACGCGUGGGUAACCUGGCCCAUACAGGGGGAUAACACUUAGAAAUAGGUGCUAAUACCGCAUAACAACAGAAAGCGCAUGCUUUUUGUUUGAAAACCAAGGUGGUAUGGGAUGGACCCGCGUCUGAUUAGCUGGUUGGCGGGGUAAAGGCCCACCAAGGCGACGAUCAGUAGCCGGCCUGAGAGGGUGGACGGCCACAUUGGGACUGAGACACGGCCCAAACUCCUACGGGAGGCAGCAGUGGGGAAUAUUGCACAAUGGGGGAAACCCUGAUGCAGCGACGCCGCGUGAGUGAAGAAGUAAUUCGUUAUGUAAAGCUCUAUCAGCAGGGAAGAAAAUGACGGUACCUGAGUAAGAAGCCCCGGCUAACUACGUGCCAGCAGCCGCGGUAAUACGUAGGGGGCAAGCGUUAUCCGGAUUUACUGGGUGUAAAGGGAGCGUAGACGGCAGUGCAAGUCUGGAGUGAAAGGCGGGGGCUCAACCCCCGGACUGCUCUGGAAACUGUACGGCUGGAGUGCAGGAGAGGUAAGUGGAAUUCCUAGUGUAGCGGUGAAAUGCGUAGAUAUUAGGAGGAACACCAGUGGCGAAGGCGGCUUACUGGACUGUA